rnacentral:rRNA from 1 species
UACAGAGGUCUCAAGCGUUGUUCGGAUUCAUUGGGCGUAAAGGGUGCGUAGGCGGUGAUGCAAGUCUGGUGUGAAAUCUCGGAGCUCAACUCCGAAAUUGCACCGGAUACUGCGUGACUCGAGGACUGUAGAGGAGAUCGGAAUUCACGGUGUAGCAGUGAAAUGCGUAGAUAUCGUGAGGAAGACCAGUUGCGAAGGCGGAUCUCUGGGCAGUUCCUGACACUGAGGCACGAAGGCCAGGGGAGCAAAACGGG